UGGAGAGUUUGAUCCUGGCUCAGGACGAACGCUGGCGGCGUGCUUAACACAUGCAAGUCGAACGGUAAGGCCCUUCGGGGUACACGAGUGGCGAACGGGUGAGUAACACGUGGGUGAUCUGCCCUGCACUUUGGGAUAAGCCUGGGAAACUGGGUCUAAUACCGAAUAUGAUCAUGGCCUUCAUGGGUUGUGGUGGAAAGCUUUUGCGGUGUGGGAUGGGCCCGCGGCCUAUCAGCUUGUUGGUGGGGUAAUGGCCUACCAAGGCGACGACGGGUAGCCGGCCUGAGAGGGUGUCCGGCCACACUGGGACUGAGAUACGGCCCAGACUCCUACGGGAGGCAGCAGUGGGGAAUAUUGCACAAUGGGCGCAAGCCUGAUGCAGCGACGCCGCGUGAGGGAUGACGGCCUUCGGGUUGUAAACCUCUUUCAGCAGGGACGAAGCGCAAGUGACGGUACCUGUAGAAGAAGGACCGGCCAACUACGUGCCAGCAGCCGCGGUA
rnacentral:rRNA from 1 species